ensembl:lncRNA
UAUAACAAUGUUCAAAUAAUCCCUUUAUUUUAACACCUGAGAAUACGUAAUCUGGAUGAUCAGAUAUUCACAAUCAGAAAAAAGUAUCAACAAUCUUCACUGGAGAUUUUGGACAAUAAAAUAUUUUACAUUACAUUAAACAUUUUCUUUUAAAAUUAAAUCUAAACAAAUAUUACAUUUUGUUUAAAUGGCCAUGGGUUGAGAAACAAAUCCCCUUUAGCUGUUGGCUGGAUGAAACCAUGAUAAAGUAAGAGGUACACCAUCAUGAAAAUAUGAUAAACUAAAGGACCUAUUCAUAAAAAAAGCACAUGUGUCUGUGUCCUCUGAAUCUAUCCACAGUAUGAAUGUCCAUUCGCUCUGCUAGACCAUGAAACUAGAAAACACACAGAAGAAGGUCCUCACAUGUACAGGAAUGUGAUUGUCUACAUUUCCAUACAGCCCCACAUUCCCAUUCAUUAUAGGAUCCUGUGUUCAAAAAAUGUAAGAAUAAUUAUACUUAAAAAAAGUAUUAUUAUUUUUGUCAAUAUGUCUAAUAAAGAAAUCACAUGAACCACAUUGGUUGCACAGAGAACAUAAAAUGAAUGUAAAAAAAAUGUAUUAACAGAAAGUACCCUGAUGUUGUCAAAAUACAUCAAACACAAAGACAGAAUUAGGAGGAAAACAUGUUGACCAUCCUCGGAAAGACAAUCAGAUGAAAGCUGAGAAAAAGCAUUACAGUAAGAGAUGGAUCCAGGCAGCAUGUGGACACCUAAGAGCUUUAAGGCAUCACCUCUCACAGUUUUACAAGUGUCUCUUUGGCCCUGAAGUAAAUCUCUUUGGAGCGGUGUUGUUUCUGUAGGCCUGAGGUAAACUCUGCUUGAUUAAUGCAGUAGUGCAAUGGGAAUAUGGUCUCCAUCUCAAAGACAUAAUGGCUAUUCCCUGUCACAAAACCUGAGAGAUCCAGAACUAACAAAGGAAAGAUGAGUGUUUCUGAUGAUUUAAUGCACAUCUCUAUGGAUUUAUUAGCCUGCGAGCCUCUCCUCCCUCCACUCCUAGUUGUUUCUCCGUUCUCAUCUAGCCUCUCUGUCCAUUUAUUCCCCUGACACAUUUCCUUUUAGGAAGUCUGCCUAUUUCCUCUGAAACAUAGGAAACUGUAAGAUUUUGGAUCAUCAUCUUUUCACUCUCAGGUAAAUAUUCUACAUUCAAGUAUGCAACUGCCAAAGGCUCAAAUUAAUUUUUGUCUGGAAGAAAUCUCUAUCAGAAUAUUCUCUCACUGUCUUUCUAUUUUUUUUCCUCUCUAUUGGUCUGUUUCUUGUAUAUUUCUCUCUCUAGCGUUGACAUUUUCCUGCUACCUCAAUAACUAAACUUUAAAGGAACAGCUAUCACUCUCCCCCCCUUCCUGUGUGCAUCUGGCCCCUGUCAGGGCUGUUCCUCUGUGGCUUCAACAUCUGGCUGGGUCUUCCUCUGCAGCAGCUGCCCGUGUUAAGCCUCCACCACAGCAGUCCUCCCCCCUGGCUGCCCCAGAUUGAUCUGUACAGCGCGGCUCCACGCUUCACUGUCUCUCCCAUCUGCCUUAGAGAGCUAGGGCAGGUGACUAAUGUACCAGCACUCUGCUAACUGCUGAUUGCUGCUGCUCUUAGACCAGGUAAUGACAACAGCCUAGACAGCCUCUAUACUAACUAGGGUAGGAAAAUAGCACACCGGCAACAAAGACUCGGCUAAUUAUGCUAGCCUGUAUAGGAACUGUAUAGGAUGCAUGUAUACAGAGACAGUUGAGAGGGAAUUAUAAAAACAAAGUGCAUACAUUCAUACACGUUAACGUGUAAAACUGCCAUGGUGUGAGAGAAACUCUGCAACUGCACUGGACUGAAUAUAAUGAAGGUCCAUCCUGCACUGGCCUGACUAUAAUGAUGGUCCAUCCUGCACUGGACUGAAUAUAAUGAAGGUCCAUCCUGCACUGGACUGAAUAUAAUGAAGGUCCAUCCUGCACUGGACUGAAUAUAAUGAAGGUCCAUCCUGCACUGGACUGAAUAUAAUGAAGGUCCAUCCUGCACUGGACUGAAUAUAAUGAAGGUCCAUCCUGCACUGGACUGAAUAUAAUGAAGGUUCAUCCUGCACUGGACUGAAUAUAAUGAAGGUCCAUCCUGCGCUGGACUGAAUAUAAUGAAGGUCCAUCCUGCACUGGACUGAAUAUAAUUACAAGAUCCAUCCAUCAGUUAUCUUACAAUACAAAAAUAAAUGCUGAGUAAAUAGUAUAAUAAAUAAGUAAUUUAACACGUUAUGUACAGUACAUACACCUGUUCUAUUUACACAUUUACAAAUCAGAGAGAGUGAAGGUCGUUUUGAAGGACUCCUCGUUACUGUAGAACCACUGAGAGGAUGGACAUCUUGGCUCGAAGAGCACCUACAGAGAGGUGUAAAGAGAGACGCCAACCCAGCAUCCAACACAG